ensembl:snoRNA SNORA62 Small nucleolar RNA SNORA62/SNORA6 family
CAUGCACAUUGUUAGAGUCUGGAGGUGAGGCCACUAACUGGCUGAUGACCUCACAAGUGUACAUAGUGUGCUACAUGAGGGGCAAGUCAUCACUAACACCACAAGGUCUCUGGCCCAAUGAGUGGAGUUUGAUAGUAAUUCUUGCUACAAGU